CGAGGUCAAGUUCCGCACAGCGCCUGGAACACGGCGGCACCGACAGCGCGGACGGUUCCGCAACGGUAUCGGCUGACCCAGCCGCACAGACACCGGCAGCGGUGGGCUGAACGACAGGAACUCGACAAUACUGGAGUUGAACGGGUGAGAUUCAUCCAUCCAUAGUGCCGGUGGGGAGAAGAGGAAGGGACAGACAGGAAAGAAAAGGAUGAAGAGGAGACCAAAUGCAGGCUGCUGCCAGAUGUGAGGCCAGAGCCCGCAGUAGUUACACUGCAGGGAUUUCCAAAUGCCUUUCCCAAGUAAAUAGCUUCAGUUGACUAAAUCUGUUGAUGUCACUGGGAGCACUUAGAGGAAGGAGCUUCUCACAAGGCACAACUGUUUCAGGGUCAGGACUGGGGGUCAGAAAAGCAUACACACAGUAGAGGUCAAUGUUUCAAUGUGUCUCUUGAGAGUUACCCACAUAAAAAUCCCCUGAAAACAAUUACAUUUGCUCAUAUGAAUACUGUACUACCAAUAUCUAUAAAGGAGCACUUUGAGGAAAGAUUAAUGACCUGGAAGGCUGAUUUGGGGAAGUUUUCCCACCUACAAGAUAAUACUGACAGAAAUCUGCAAACUGUUGUAGAGGACUUAGCUCAACUGCAGGUCGUAUCAUUAGGGAAGUGAAAAGAGAAAAAGUUCAAGUUAAUAGGUGAGUCAUAAUGACAAGAAUGAGAAGUUUAAGCUUACCCUGGUGAAGCAGAUGUAAAGCUGUAAUGGACUUAAAAGAAAGUGCUCCUGUAUCUUUAUCAAAAAACAGGCAAAUUACCUCAGUAGCUCCUUGUUCUCUGGAUUGUAAAAGACAGAAGAGAGGCAGGAAAGGAAGCGGUAGUAGGUAAGAGGAGCCUAUACAAGGUCUUUUCCCAUCUAGAAAGAGAAAAGGUCACCUCUUACUGUACGGAUGAAGUAGCAGCAGGAGUUGAGUGAGAGCAGUGGAGAGUGGUAUGAACAGAAGAAUGAGCAGUGAAAGGAAGGAAGGAGUCAAAGGUGCCUGACUCGUUACAGAGAGUAAUACUGGUAGCAUGGUGCCUUUACCAGUGAUAGAAGUGUGAGGGGCUCAGGAAAAAAAGGAUGCCUAAAUUUGCCUGUUUCAAGUUUAACUUGCCAGCAACUAAUUCCAGAAGAGACAAGGAAGGUUGCUAGAAACGUGGCUGUGGAUGGGAGGAUAAAACCAGUUCAGGAGCAGAGUAGAUUGGUUUCUUUCCUACAUCAUGAUGGUAUUUAGAUGACAUUUCAGGUAUAACUGGUAGGGAUGAAGCAAACAGCAAAAUGCAAACUGUUACUUUCAAGAAAAUCUAAUGAUAAAAAGAGAAGUUGUUGAAAAUCAGAGUAGAUAAGAUUCAAAACUAAAGCUCUAGGCAGUCCUGUAGCUGAUGUCCCAUUUGACAGUCAAACACUAUCGCUGUGAUAGCAAGUUUUCACUUGUGCUUUCUGAAGGCCCUCUGUGCCACAGAGGCCUUUGAGCACUCAAGGUGUACGAGGUCUAAAUCUCAGUACAGCAGGAGGUGGGCAGCAGACUCCUGCACAGACAGCUACCAAAGGGAGACAAAGGGAGCAUGUUUAUUUUCAGUUGGAGGUGAGGAACGCUCCUGUGCACCAGCAUGCCCUCUUGGCUCCUGUGAGACACAGAAAUGCUCAUUUAAAUACUCCAGAGAACCAGAGCAAAUGAGCUGCUCGGAAAACCAGAAAGCAGCAAAUGACAACUGAAACUCUUCAGGAAUAAAAGGGGAGAGGGAUUUAGGCAGAGCAAAAAGGCAAAUGCUUUUUUAAUUGUAAGUUAUUUUUGCACUCAGAAGAGGGAAGAAUUGUGAUGUUGGCUCGAGACCUUGCAUUACGAAUAAACGUACUUGAGUUUCUGAAGGAUUUAAUAAUCUAACAUGAAGCUCCUACUAGCCCUCCAGGCAGAGGAUGGGCCUGUUGGGUCAUGGUUUCAUACCAUCAAAGAGAUAGAUUUCAUCUUUCAGAUGUUGUUGUGCUCGCUUGGUAAGAAUUCAGCUUAUUAAAAGGUGUUAAAUAAGAUACAGGAUAAAAAUACUACAAGAGAAGAAAAAAAAGAUUUAAGGCUAAAAGGCAAAGUAAAUAUGGAAAUAACAUUUGGAAAGACAUUCUGGGAACAAAACUCCAAGUUUAUGUAUUGGAACAGAGUAGAGGGUAACUCUGGAUGGGUGAUGCAGCUCGAGGUGCUGUGACCUUGGAAGCAGCCAGUCGGGCAACACCCCAUGCUGCACAAAUGGAAUGUGCAGCUCUUGGCAUGGGAGCUCCAAUAUUCAAAGUGCCCCAUCAAUCUGAGUAGAGUUUUCAGUGUUUAAGAAUCUUAUUUUAUCUGGAUUAAAGUCCUCUUCCCCCUUGGCAUUAGAAGGUGUUUAUGGCUGUAAAAACAAGAAUUGCAAAACACUGCCUUGAAAUAUAGAUGGAUUUCUGCUGCCAAACUGACGAGGUUUACUUUGCAGCUUCAAACUGAAGCAGAAAAUCUCUGCCAGGGACAGUGUGGCCUUUCUAGACAAAGUGUGGGCAAAUGGCACAUCAACCAGAUCACUCCAAAAUCUC